GCCAGCCCGCUCAGAACUUAAAGGAAUUGACGGGGCCCGCACAAGCGGAGGAGCAUGUGGUUUAAUUCGAUGAUACGCGAGGAACUUACCCUGGGCUCGAACGUAAGAUGACUGUAGGUGAAAGCUUACAUCUCUUCGGAGCAUUUUACGAGGUGCUGCAUGGUUGUCGUCAGCUCGUGCCGUGAGGUGUCGGGUUAAGUCCCAUAAACGAGCGCAACCCCUACCUUUAGUUGCCAUCAGGUUAAGCUGGGGACUCUAAAGGAACUGCCUACGCAAGUAGUGAGGAAGGCGGGGAUGACGUCAAAUCAGCACGGCCCUUACGUCCAGGGCUACACACGUGCUACAAUGGCCGAUACAGAGGGCAGCUACCUGGUGACAGGAUGCAAAUCUCCAAAGUCGGUCUCAGUUCGGAUCGGAGUCUGCAACCCGACUCCGUGAAGUUGGAUUCGCUAGUAAUCGCGCAUCAGCCAUGGCGCGGUGAAUACGUUCCCGGGCCUU
rnacentral:rRNA from 1 species